UACGGAGGAUGCGAGCGUUAUCCGAAUUUAUUGGGUUUAAAGGGUGCGUAGGCGGACGCUUAAGUCAGCGGUAAAAUUGCGGGGCUCAACCUCGUCGAGCCGUUGAAACUGGGUGCCUUGAGUGGGCGAGAAGUACGCGGAAUGCGUGGUGUAGCGGUGAAAUGCAUAGAUAUCACGCAGAACUCCGAUUGCGAAGGCAGCGUACCGGCGCCCUACUGACGCUGAAGCACGAAGGCGUGGGUAUCGAACAGG
rnacentral:rRNA from 1 species